UCCCUGGUACCCCUCUCCAAAUAAAAAAAAGUAUAAUAAUUAGUAGGCUCAUAGCUACCAUUUAAAAAAGUACUUACUGUAUGCUAGUAGAGACUAGAUGCUUUCUUCUGUUAUCUUUUUAGCUACAUUAGUCAUUUGUAGGCCUGGUGUGUAGUGGUAAUCAUUACAAAGCAUUUGCGAUGCUUUGACCAAGAUUUAACCUAACUCCUGAUCACAAUAUGGGAGACUACAGACCUGCUGACCCUCCAAGCCACUGGAAACAGUAAUAAUUAGUGGCAGCAUGUUAUGCAUAAUUAGACACCACCAGUGUGCAGCUCUUUUUAAAAGGCGGCAUGUAUACUGGCUGUCAAUCUUUCCUUAGUCAGGGAACACUGGUGUACAGUCCAUUGCUAAGUGAAAGCAGGCAGCCAGGUUAAGUUCUAAUUAAAUGUUACCAUUGUUAUUUGAAAAGUGGAAGCUUAGUGUUGAUGUCAAAUUGACUUUUGUCAGUGGAUGGGAUUGGAACCUUCGUCACUUUGGACUCAUACACGUGUAUAACACAGCCCAAGAAACCUUCUUUGACUUCACGGUUGAGUUGGAUGGCAAGGAUCGAAGCGAGGGCGUCACUGUGCACAAGGAAAGGAUCAUGCUGUCUCUUUUCCUGUGAGCCUCCAUCUCGGCGGCAUGAGCAUUCCGGGCAUUUUCCCGGGCUGCAAAUUGCACAUGGAACUGUGCUCCUGGGCGGCAGCUCACACUCUGGCUCUUUGGCCUUUCCGUGCCCACUGUCCAUGCAGGGAUGGGAAGAGGUGGGAAGAGACACUGUGAAGGGAAGCUUCGCCGAGAGCUGUGAGCUGAGGGUGAGCUUCCUGUUCUGUUAGGCUUCCUGCAGCCCUCAUGCAAGGUGACCAAUCCCAUUCCCGGGGACGGAGCCCCUCCUGAAGGUGCCGCUUCUCAUUACUAUUGCACUGUGUGAAUUUCCAACACGCAGCCUGUGGGGCACAACUGUUCAAGUCAGUGAUGUCUUACAGACUAAUGUGCAGGGCAGGUCUUUCUUGGAGAGCCCUGUGGUGUCGUGGCCUAGUGGGCGAGCUCUGGAGUCCAUCCUGGGGUUUAAACCUCGGCCCUACACCUACCGGCAAAGUGUGCAUAUCUGGAACUCAGUUUCCCAAACUUGAAAAUUAGGCAAUAAUACGCCCUCCCAGGGUUUUAGGAGAAUUUGAUGGUAUAUAACGGAUUUCUGCUUAAGGGCGAGGGAACAGUUGUUAAUAGAAUAAUUCUUCCAGUGGUGACAUACACAAGCUGGGAAAAUGACAGAAAAAUUGCUCUUUAAAGGUGUCGGAGACCAACCGAGACAGCCACGAAUUUUAAUAAUAUCUUGUUUCUUGAUCCAGGUAGUGGUGAUGGAGUGAAAACUGAAUGCUCAUGAAUGUUUUCGUGUGUAGGUCACGCCUAGGAAGAAAAUUUACCUGAAGGUUAUAGAUACCUUCACGGCACCCCUUGUGCCUGGGACGUGCCGACGGAAUAAAUCGCAUUUUGAAGAGGUGUCAGUUCUUUGAUACGUGAUAGAAUUGUUUGCCAAAGUUGCAUCUGACUUUUCAAACACACCUUGGAUAUGCUGGCAGAGGAGUGGGUGACGUCCUGAUGAUCACACGCUGUCACUUCAGUGGCUUCUACAGGAAACAUGUCGUUUCCACUGAAAUCCAGGCAGCCGACUUCUGUGGAGAGAACCCCGAGCACGUGAUGGUUUUCCCUGUGUUCAGGAUCAGGUAGUUUGAAGUACCUCGUUGGCUAACCUCAGAAACCAGGCUCAUCAAGGGUGUUUCUCAACGUGCUUCUGAUUUUGUUCUUCUACAAUUGGACAUGGAAUUGAUCCUGGAUCUGACCAGGACAACUAUAGAGGAAGAAGAGUUUAUUUGAGGGUUCACGGUUUCAGAGGUUUUAGUCCAUAGAAGGCUGGCUCCAUUCCUUGGGGCUGGAGGUGAGGCUGACCAUCACUGCAGGAGAGGGUGCCAGAGAGAAGCAGCUCACGUCACGGUGAUCAAGAAGCAGAGAGAGGGGUUGCGGAUGUGGCUCAAGUGGUAGUGCGCUCGCCUGGCAUGCGUGUGGCGCUGGGUUCGAUCCUCAGCACCACAUAAAAAUAAAAUAAAGAUGUUGUGUCCACCGAAAACUAAAAAUAAAAAAAAAAUUAAAAAAUUCUCUCUCUUAAAAAAAAAAAAAAAAGCAGAGAGGCUCCACUCCCAGGUAUAAAUACAUACCCAAGCCAUGCCCCAAUUCCCACCUCCUCCAGCCACACCCUACCACUUCAAUUAAACCCAUCAGGGAUUAAUUUACUGAUUAGGCUAAGGCUAUAGCCCAGUCAUUUCUCCUUCAAACCUUCUUGCCUUGUCUCUUGUGAGCUUUUGGAGGACACCACAUCUAAACCAUAACAUUGACAUCUAAACCAUAACAUUGAUGUUAGUAUAUUUUAAGAAUUCAAUGAUUAUUUCUUGGAGAUGUUGUUUUAUCAAUAAUCAAAAGGCAGUUGGGAACUGGGUAUAUAUCUCAAUCAGUAGAGUGCUUGCCUCUCAUGCACAAAGCCUUGGGUUCAAUCCCCAGCACCACCAAAAAGCAAACAAAAAAUAAUCAAAAGGGAUAUGAUAUUAAAAUAAAAUUAGUUAUUGAAGUUUGAAAGAAGGCUGAAAACUUUUGAACUUUAUUUUUUUUUUCCUUUCUGAGUCAUCAAACUCUAAGGCAGAAUGUUCUGGAAUGACUAUUUGCCUAAAUUGCUAUUUAUUUAUUUUUUAGCCAACUGGUUUAGAACACUUAUGUAAACAAAUCGCACCUCCGUAGGUAGGCUGGUGGUGAGAAGCGGAGGGCAAUGCACUUCUCUGCAGGGGUUUCUGCUCCAGGGUAUGCUGAGGAUGCCCGUCCUGGUUCAAUCCUCUAGGUUGGUCCUUGGUAACAGCCGUGAGCUUCCCAUUCUAAUCUGAUUCCCCUCAGGUGCAAGCUGUGGUUCAUAGUGCGCUUUACAGGAUAGUGUGUUGGGGGGGUGGUGAACUUGUAAAUUUUAAGCUGACCAAGUCCUUGUGAAGUCUUUGGAAGUGGACGUUAUCACAGCUCACCAACAUCUGGUCUUCCUCCUCUUUGUGGGUCCACAGAGGAUGGCACUUCCUUGCCAGUUAGCGGGAUAUGUGUCUGGUUUUGGUUGCAGUGUUAUGGCUUAUGCAAUUUCUCUUUGGAGCCCAAAUGUGGGCCAUGCUAACAUGAAAUAUCCAUGUUGCCUCUUCAACCUUGUCUUGAGAGAUUAGAGUCAUGAGGGGAGAGUCACCUGGAGCCCUGAAUUCCUGAGUGGAUCAUGGUUGCCCUGGUAAUUGGCAUAGGCCCACAGUAGACCCCACCAAAGUGAGAAGUAAACACAGAUGGCAUAAACAUCCGGUGUCAGAACAUGUCAUGUCAGUACAUUUGGGGACUAUUUGUUACUACCCUAUAAUCCAGUUUAUCCUGACUGAUACAGACUUUUGGGGGAAAGUUUAAAAUGAGCAAGGUAAUAUACCAGACUACCCAAUAGCUUAGGAUUCUGCCAACCAGUCCUGUCUUAGAUGAUGAAUGAUCAAGGCUGAAGGUGGGAGAUGAAGAAAAGGGAAACAAUGAAUUUAGACAAACUGCAUCAAAAUUGCUAUAUAAAAGAAUGCCCGACUAUCUUUUUACAGAGUUUUGAAUUAGUCUGAAUCUUCCUGCAAUCCAGGGCUCUCAAAUUCAGAAUCCGAAUUGCCUAUCUCAGAGGAAUCCCCCUUAAGGCCAAUGUUUUGAAGUUCACUCAUAGCAGGACCCAGCUAAGUGUUUGUGGCUAAGCCCCUUUGCAAGCAGAGAAUGUUGAUCACAAGACUUCAAGCUACUCUUCCUCCUUCACUUGACGUUAACAAAUUUGGGUCGACAAAAACAGAUAAGGGCUCACCAUACAUCAAGUUGCUGUGUGUGGCUGUAGGGACACAAAGAUGAGUGAGGCAUCUCUCUACCCUCGAGUAGCUCACAGUCUAGUGGGAGAGAGAGACACUGACAUAAGUAGUUACAAAAUGAGGUAGCCCGGGGAAGUGUCUCAGCAGAAGCGUUAACAAAAGAAGCAGAGUCCCAGGGAGGGAGAGAUCCAUUCUGAUUGGGGAAGAUCUGUGUUUGAGCUAGUACUUGAAGAAUGACAUUGACCUUGACAAUUUUCUGGGAGUUAUGAGGGACAGCCAGUGUUGAAUACCUUGCCUUAAGAUCCUUAUUUCUAUGCUGUGGACAUACUAGCUCAGGAGAUGUGUAAUUUGGGCAUUUUCAAAGCCCAUGUAGCCAGAGAUCUGGGAUAAUGGGGAAACAGCAAUAACAUUAUCAUCGAAUGUAAGAACUUGUUGAUAUAUUUUGCUAGAUUGCUCCUAUUAAUGAUUUAUUAAUCUUUUCUGCUUCCUGCACUAAAAAUACUAAAAUACCUUGCUGUGGAAUUUAACCCAUGCAUAUACACACUCAAGGCUUGGCCCUUGUCAGCCUUUCUGAUGUGGUUGUGCUUCCAAGAUGUGGAUUUUAAAAUUCUACAACAAUAGAUAUACGUAAGAGGGACAGGAGACCAAAAAUCUUCCAUGACCUACAAACAUCAGUUUCUUAAACUGUGAUUCCUAGGCACUAUUUUUGGAACUAUUAAUUGGUGUGAUAUGAAACAAAAGGUCCAUAUGAAAUGUUUUCUGUCAGUGUUCCGGCUGUCAAUUUAUUACCUCUCAGCUUCAAAUUCACCCUUUAGUACCCGCUUUCGUGAGGACGCAUUAAGCAUCUCUUUUGCAGCAAACACGGUAUUAGGCUUUGUCAGCAGAGGGCGCCAGAGGGACACUGCAGGAGGGGUGUCUUCCUCCUGGUGCUGGUGGACUUUUUGUGUCUGAUGAACUGGUGCUGGCUUAGGGCUCAGCCCCAGCUGCAUGCCUGGGACACACAAAUCCUCAGCAAACUCACGCCCCAAGGACCAGCGUGGUGACCCACUCACCAUGCACCUCAGGCUUUGCACUGCCCUGAUGAUGAGUGGGCUCUGGAUGGCCUGCAUCCUGGCCCUCUAGCCCCCUGCAUGUUAAGGGGAAUUUCCUAGUUACCUGGCACUGUGGGCCAGCUCUCACCUGGCAACCUGUGGCACUUCAGCCUGGUGUGGGCUGCAGCCACGCCAAUCCCAAUGAAGCCUGUGUCCAGCCUUAGACAGAAGCCCACUCCCUUAGGUGCUCUUCCUCUACCCUAGAGUAUAAUUUAGCAUUCUCUCUGCCUCUUUAUGAUUACUCUUUUGUUACAUGUAAUAAGAAUUUAUAUUAAAAAUUUAUAAUCCCUGUAUAAGUCGUUGUAUAGGUCUGUCUCCUCAUUGGACCUUGACUGGUAUAGUCAGGAUAGACUUCAACAACAGUUCUCAAAGAUUUAUUCUUAGAGCACUUUUAUACUUGUAAAGAGCUUCUUAUUUGUGUAGGUUAUGUCUGCUGGUAUUUACCAUAUUAGAAAGGAAAUUUGAUUCCUUAAAAAAUGAUGGUCUUUGGAAAAUGCUAGUUUAUUUAGUUAUGCAGAUCUUAAGAUGCUGACUCAUUUCCUUGUACAAUAUCAAAAAUCACAUUCAUUCGUAUUACAACUGAUCUCAUUAGACAAAAUCUUUAAGUAUUAGAAGUUGUCAGGCUCACAGUGGAAGACACGAAUUUUCCAAAAUCCUACCGUUUACUUAAAAGCCUGGAGUUUAUCAUUGGCAAGAAAAUAUUUGCUGAAUAAUUGAAUUGGAAUAACCUUAAUUUGUCUGUCAGUCAUCUUUUCAAAUAAGAAAAGCAAUUUAAUGAAAAAGGGGCUAAUUCAGCUUGCAGCCAAAUGAUCACAAGUGCUUUUACUUAAGACAAAGCUUAGCACUUUGGUGUGCAGAAAAAGAGCCCUCUGCCUUAUUUCUAUUUCAUCCCAAGAAAUCUCAAGAAGCUGCACCCUCAAGGCUUGGGCUUAAUAAAAUCAGUCCUUUUCUUGUGUGUGUUCCACUAAGUGAUGGCUCUGUUAAAACUGUGACUGACGGGGGCAGGCUGGGGGUGAAGAACAUCAAGGUUACUGAGUGCAGCUUGCUCUCACCCUUUCACCAUGUGGAGGGACCAGGCGUUUUACCCUCCGUUACUUUUCCACCAUUAAUGUAAAUGUCACCAUCGUGAAAAACCAAGGCAUGUUUCAGUAUUAUUAUGAACAUAGUUUUGACUUUGUGGAGUUUGAAAAUGGCACUGUGAGGACCACGAGGCUAGUUAUGCUGUGAUAUAAAUGGCUACGGAACCUCAGGGGCUUAAACUUCAUGGGCUGGUUUCUUGCUCAUAGGACUUGUCCACUAGGGAGCGGUUGCGGGUUUGUUUUGUAUCACUUUUCCUCCAGGACCCGGAAUGUGGAGCAGCCUGCUUUCUGGAAUGUUCAUGACUGUCGGUCGCAAAGGGAAGAGAUGAGAGGAGUCAUGAGCUGGCUAAGGCUUCUGCUCGUAAAUGACUACGGGAAUCACACAGGAUUGGAAUCACUUCUGCCUGUGUUCCCACCGCCCAGCCACUAGGAGGCACCGUCUGCUGGUACCUAGAAGUCAGCUGUUGUCAAUUAUUUGAGGCUCUUUUGAGGGGUCCCAACAUCCAAUAACCAGUGUGAAAAUGAAAACAA